UACAGAUAAAGAACGCAAGAAUACGCAUUGCAGAGUGGGAGUUCACCUUGAUGUGGGAUGAAAAUGGGACCUGGUGCUUCUUGCGAUCAGGAACGUGUAUUAAUAGCGACGAGGAAUUUAACAUGCUUUACCUUGGAAGGAGGAGGAAGAGAACAGCUCAGCUUUAGCUUUCAGACAUCCGCGUUGGAAGCGCUCUGAGGAAAUCACCUUGGACGCAAGUGUUCUGAACAGCUUUUCCUACUGCAAGUUCGGAACGUUCUGAAACCUGUUUCUCUCAGAGCUUUCAGCAUUCUCUUACCAUCCUUAACCUUGACAGACCCUGCAGGUGCACCCUGGCUGAUCCCUAUCCUCCAACUCAGACUGAGUCAGGAUCAGUUAAACUCCCGCCUGGUUGUGUGUCUGAAACACCUCUGUGGUCCCAGCUGUUUUGUACCCUAGACGGGACUAGAAAUCUGAGAAGUGGGGAAGUAGCAUCACCUCACACCUGGAGGAGGCAGGAUCCAGUGUGGCCAUGGCAUUGUGACCAUCGGUUGGGACCUGACCAUCGGUCCUGUGGAAGGUGGUACCAACGGACUCAGCCCACGGAGGUGAGCACCGGUGUGCGUCUCAAUACUUCUUGGAGGAAAAUACUGUCACCCCUGUUUUACAGAAGACGAACAGCUGCCUUUCAGUGGAGCUUAACAGCAUCCUGUGGUCAUGCAUUUCCCAUGUGCCAGGGCCCAGGCUUAAAGCCUGGGAUUUUCUGACUCUUUGAUUUCACCGGGAUGCUCAUCCGUCCCAGCACACUGCUGGCUCCUGGCUGGACUAGUCUGGUAGCUUUUAAAUUCAACCGUGGUCAUAACCUAGUGCACGCAUGCACACACACACACAGACACAUCUAUAAUGUGAUACAGAAGUUUCAUGAAAUAACACUUCCCCUCCCUAAAUGCAAUGCACUCUGGUAUUUUCCACUCCAUUUGGCUUCAGCUUUAAAGGAAAAUGCUGGUGGUGGCCUGAUGAAUUGAUUUCAUGGCCCAGCAUGGGCUGUAACCCACCAGGGACACCCUAACAGCAAUUUCUAGGCGCUCUUCAGUUCUAAUUUUGUCUGAUUCUCCUAAAACAAGAAUACAAACAAAAAUCUUCAAACCUGAUUCCCUUGGUUUUUAUUUCUUUGAGUUUAUUAAAAAAAAUUU